AUCUCCAACCAAGCCUCGACACUAGGGUUUGGGUAACCGACUCAAUGGAGGGCACCAUCGCUUCCCUAGAUUCUACACUCAGCGGCAACAAAAGACUAGCCGCCUGUCUCCAAUUCGCCGGGAUAUCAGCUAAAAGAGCGACAAUAGCAUCCAUACAUUCCUGCCAUUUACGAUAGGUGCACAGAGAUUUAGCUAGUGUGGUCCGCGGUUGGAGGUAUUGAUCCACUAUUUGAUGCCAAGCCUUGCGUAUUGCUAGGCCUGCCUGGUCCGUUGCAUUCAUAACUCCAUCCAAGGCCUCGCGCGCGCGAAGAACAUCCCCCAACGUAUGCAAUGCUUUACAGCCCAAGAGGGCUUGGUGUCGAAAUUCUAGUCCCGGGCGGAUGUUAUCUGACGGGACAUUAAACCUCUUUUCUGGAAGAACAGGGCUUCCCCACAGAGGCAAAUUCCAACACCAUGCAUUAGGAACUAACGGGUGAUUAUCAGCCAGUGCCAGACCUAUGGAGGAAGGUACGGGCAAACCAAGUCCGUCAAGUAGGCGAUUUCCCCCGCCACGAAACCUUUGGAGCCGGCGUACGCUUGUGAGGUUAGUUUGCUUGGCCGUGCCGUGUAAUAAGGCCUCACAACGUUGUGCGUUUGUUGCUCGUUAAGGCGUUGCGUUGCACACGAGCCGUUUGGGCUCAACUGUGACAUCUACAUCACCCAAGGGAGUGCCGAAGGAGGGCAUUUUUUUACUAGGCAAACUCUGAAAUGGAACGAUUACCGGAGAGCUUCAUCAACCACAAUUUCACAUUACAUGAAAUUAUUGACCCGCGGCAACCACUAACGCGCCUACAGUCCCACACUAAAGAGAAACUGGUUUCCCUUCUUUUUGAUUUCAUGAUACAUGCACUUGACAACGUUUACUGGUAAAUAGGUUCAUUAUGUACUAUUACGGAUGCUGGGACGAGGUCUACGCCUGCGCACUGCGAGAAGGUCGCACCGGGAGCUCAACGGCGCAAAGCAUUUCGCAAAGCUUGCAAAAUGCUGCACGGGGGCCUAAAACUUCGCAAGGGACAAUUUUGAUACCUCGUGCAGAACUUGGGCGUAUCGCAGAAUGGCGGGAUUUUAGUACUGGUUCCGGUGGCAGGGUCAUGCCUUGUUUUUCGCUCUAUCCCUAAACCUAUGUAACGUAUAUCGAGGCGACUGCUUAAUAGCCGCUCUCUAGUUCAACAGGUUAUGAGCGCCGCGCAACGAUAGCAUCGCGGUCUGCCGGAAUCAGCCAACUGCGGGAUUCCAGUUUCUGCUUAAGAGUGUCUCUGGUUAAUUUAAGCCUGGCUGUAGGCGGGGAGGCUAUUUAUAGCCGGAUUUGUGAAAUGGCCGAACAGUCGAAGCCGGCCCCGAACCUGGAGUCGAUCGCCGACUAUGUUUCAUGCGUAUGAAGGCUGAUUGGGUAAAGCUUAACGAGGCCUAACACACACCAAGCACACACGCAUGCAGACAAAUGUUUCGUUUCAAGGGUAUGAAGGCUCGUUGCGUCAAGUUUAGGGUGUAUUUCCAGUGCGGAUUAACGUCGCGGAUUAACCCUCUGUCCUCCAUCGAUACUUGCUCAAACGGCUAAGUUGUUGGCAAACUUACCUCGCCUUUUCAACCUUUGGUUCCCUUAUGGAACGAAACUAUGUGGUAAGCUCGUACCAAGGACUUCCGUGCCCUAAUCCCUGGCCUUAAUCCGCACUGGAAAUGCACCCUUAAUGCCCUAAACCCUAAGCUAACACACACCAAGCACACACGAUUUACCUUUGAUUAAUUGCAUUACAUAACAAUUCACGUGCGAUGUUUUAUGUGUUGGUCGCAUACUCAGUUCGUUAACCUUCACGCAGUCUCAUGAGAGAAUAACAUGCUUGGCAGCACUCAGGGGGGGCCUUCCGCAAUCGAGAUCGCAUCAGGCGCAGCCCUACAUCGCACAACGAUUCAUCAUACCAUCAACUAGAUGCCAGAAAGGCGGCGGGACAUGCCGCAUGCGAACGCGCACGCAAUUAGACCCCCGCCGGCUGUGAGUCAGUUGUGGGGACAUGCCUGGGAGGCUGAAAGGGCUUCCGGACGCAUAAAUCGCAUCAGGAGUCGUCGUACGCCGGACCAGCGAUGCAUCAGACCAUCAGCUAGUUGCCAGGAAGGCGGCGGGGAACGCGGCUUGAUCAGUCACGCUCGCUAGGCAACCACCAUGGGGAAGGGAUGUAAGACAGUCCUCCUCUCGGAUAGGUCGAACUACUCCCAGUGGCUCGGCGACUUAGGCGAUUUCCUCGCAACGUCCAAGUUGAAGAGCUACAUCAACAACCCGUCGCCUCCCGGCUGCAACGCCCAAGACACCCUGGAGGAGGACGCACAGGCGCUCGGCUACCUGCGUCUGUCCUGUGAAC
rnacentral:lncRNA from 1 species